CUCGAAUCCUUGGAACCUAGGUGUGAGUGCUGUCUCUGUGCAACACACCUAUUCAAGGAUUCAAA
rfam:Otolemur garnettii contig154567, whole genome shotgun sequence.